rnacentral:sRNA from 1 species
UUGAGUGGGAGUAAGAGGCUAGCUUGAUUUGAAGCAAGAACGCUGAUUUAACAGCAUUUGCCCUAAGCUAAAACGAACAAAUUGAUUAAAAAUAUAGUUCCCUAUCAAAAACCCUACCAAGAAAAAAUUUUGGUAGGGAAUUUU